rnacentral:rRNA from 1 species
GACGAACGCUGGCGGCGUGCCUAAUACAUGCAAGUCGAACGCUUCUUUUUCCACCGGAGCUUGCUCCACCGGAAAAAGAGGAGUGGCGAACGGGUGAGUAACACGUGGGUAACCUGCCCAUCAGAAGGGGAUAACACUUGGAAACAGGUGCUAAUACCGUAUAACAAUCGAAACCGCAUGGUUUUGAUUUGAAAGGCGCUUUCGGGUGUCGCUGAUGGAUGGACCCGCGGUGCAUUAGCUAGUUGGUGAGGUAACGGCUCACCAAGGCGACGAUGCAUAGCCGACCUGAGAGGGUGAUCGGCCACAUUGGGACUGAGACACGGCCCAAACUCCUACGGGAGGCAGCAGUAGGGAAUCUUCGGCAAUGGACGAAAGUCUGACCGAGCAACGCCGCGUGAGUGAAGAAGGUUUUCGGAUCGUAAAACUCUGUUGUUAGAGAAGAACAAGGAUGAGAGUAACUGUUCAUCCCUUGACGGUAUCUAACCAGAAAGCCACGGCUAACUACGUGCCAGCAGCCGCGGUAAUACGUAGGUGGCAAGCGUUGUCCGGAUUUAUUGGGCGUAAAGCGAGCGCAGGCGGUUUCUUAAGUCUGAUGUGAAAGCCCCCGGCUCAACCGGGGAGGGUCAUUGGAAACUGGGAGACUUGAGUGCAGAAGAGGGAGAGUGGAAUUCCAUGUGUAGCGGUGAAAUGCGUAGAUAUAUGGAGGAACACCAGUGGCGAAGGCGGCUCUCUGGUCUGUAACUGACGCUGAGGCUCGAAAGCGUGGGGAGCAAACAGGAUUAGAUACCCUGGUAGUCCACGCCGUAAACGAUGAGUGCUAAGUGUUGGAGGGUUUCCGCCCUUCAGUGCUGCAGCUAACGCAUUAAGCACUCCGCCUGGGGAGUACGACCGCAAGGUUGAAACUCAAAGGAAUUGACGGGGGCCCGCACAAGCGGUGGAGCAUGUGGUUUAAUUCGAAGCAACGCGAAGAACCUUACCAGGUCUUGACAUCCUUUGACCACUCUAGAGAUAGAGCUUCCCCUUCGGGGGCAAAGUGACAGGUGGUGCAUGGUUGUCGUCAGCUCGUGUCGUGAGAUGUUGGGUUAAGUCCCGCAACGAGCGCAACCCUUAUUGUUAGUUGCCAUCAUUUAGUUGGGCACUCUAGCAGGACUGCCGGUGACAAACCGGAGGAAGGUGGGGAUGACGUCAAAUCAUCAUGCCCCUUAUGACCUGGGCUACACACGUGCUACAAUGGGAAGUACAACGAGUCGCAAAGUCGCGAGGCUAAGCUAAUCUCUUAAAGCUUCUCUCAGUUCGGAUUGUAGGCUGCAACUCGCCUACAUGAAGCCGGAAUCGCUAGUAAUCGCGGAUCAGCACGCCGCGGUGAAUACGUUCCCGGGCCUUGUACACACCGCCCGUCACACCACGAGAGUUUGUAACACCCGAAGUCGGUGAGGUAACCUUUUGGAGCCAGCCGCCUAAGGUGGGAUAGAUGAUUGGGGUG